GCCGGAGUGGCGGAAUCGGCAGACGCGCUGGACUCAAAAUCCAGUGACCGCAAGGUCGUGUGGGUUCGACCCCCUCCUCCGGCA
rnacentral:tRNA from 1 species